UACGGAGGGUGCAAGCGUUAUCCGGAUUUACUGGGUUUAAAGGGUGUGUAGGCGGGCUUUUAAGUCAGUGGUGAAAUCUCCGGGCUCAACCCGGAAACUGCCAUUGAUACUAUUAGUCUUGAAUUCUGUUGAGGUAGGCGGAAUAAGUCAUGUAGCGGUGAAAUGCAUAGAUAUGACUUAGAACACCAAUUGCGAAGGCAGCUUACUAAACAGAUAUUGACGCUGAGGCACGAAAGCGUGGGGGAUCAAACCAGGAU
rnacentral:rRNA from 1 species